rnacentral:rRNA from 1 species
GAUGAACGCUAGCUACAGGCUUAACACAUGCAAGUCGAGGGGAAACGACAUCGAAAGCUUGCUUUUGAUGGGCGUCGACCGGCGCACGGGUGAGUAACGCGUAUCCAACCUGCCCACCACUUGGGGAUAACCUUGCGAAAGUAAGACUAAUACCCAAUGAUAUCCCACGAAGGCAUCCGAAUGAGAUUAAAGAUUUAUCGGUGAUGGAUGGGGAUGCGUCUGAUUAGCUUGUUGGCGGGGUAACGGCCCACCAAGGCAACGAUCAGUAGGGGUUCUGAGAGGAAAGUCCCCCACAUUGGAACUGAGACACGGUCCAAACUCCUACGGGAGGCAGCAGUAGGGAAUAUUGCACAAUGGAGGAAACUCUGAUGCAGCCAUGCCGCGUGUGUGAAGAAGGCCUCGGGUUGUAAAGCACUUCGGAGGGGAGGGAAGAAAAGUAGACGUUACCCU